UGGUCAUUUAGAGGAAGUAAAAGUCGUAACAAGGUUUCCGUAGGUGAACCUGCGGAAGGAUCAUUAACCGUUACAAACAGUGUGUGCUGCGGCCCCCGAGGUGAGGCAACGAGCCUUCGGGAGGUCUGGGGUCCGCCCCUUCACGCGCACGCGUCUGCCAUCCUUACUUUACGAGCACCUUCUGUUCUCCCUCGGCAUGCGUCCUGCGCUGCCGUUGGAAUUACAAAACUCUUUUUUGCAUCUAGCAUUACCUGUUCCGACAAUAACAAUCGUUACAACUUUCAACAAUGGAUCUCUUGGCUCUGGCAUCGAUGAAGAACGCAGCGAAAUGCGAUAAGUAGUGUGAAUUGCAGAAUUCAGUGAAUCAUCGAAUCUUUGAACGCACAUUGCGCCCCUCGGUAUUCCGUGGGGCAUGCCUGUUCGAGCGUCAUCUACACCCUCAAGCUCUGCUUGGUGUUGGGCGUCUGUCCCGCCUCGGCGCGCGGACUCGCCCCAAAUGCAUUGGCAGCGGUCUUUGCCUCCUCUCGCGCAGCACAUUGCGCUUCUCGAGGUGUCGCGGACACGCGUCCAGUAAGCAACAUUUACCGUCUUUGACCUCGGAUCAGGUAGGGAUACCCGCUGAACUUAAGCAUAUCAAUAAGCGGA
rnacentral:rRNA from 1 species